AAGAGUUUGUUAUAUACACCAAACAAAUAUCAAUUAAAAUUUACUUUCCAUUAAUAAUGGUUUGUUAAAUAUUAAAUGAAUUUGGUAUAACUAUUAUACUCAGGUAUGAUCCAAUUCAAGGACAUUGCCAGGUGGGGAGUUUGACUGGGGCGGUACAUCUCUCAAAUAAUAACGGAGGUGUCCCAAGGCCAGCUCAGUGCGGACAGAAACCACACAUAGAGCAAAAGGGCAAAUGCUGACUUGAUCUCGGUGUUCAGUACAUACAGAGACAGCAAAAGCUCGGCCUAUCGAUCCUUUUGGUUUAAAGAGUUUUUAACAAGAGGUGUCAGAAAAGUUACCACAGGGAUAACUGGCUUGUGGCGGCCA
rnacentral:rRNA from 1 species